GAACGCUGGCGGCAUGCCUUACACAUGCAAGUCGAACGGCAGCACGGGAGCAAUCCUGGUGGCGAGUGGCGAACGGGUGAGUAAUAUAUCGGAACGUGCCCGGUCGUGGGGGAUAACGUAGCGAAAGCUACGCUAAUACCGCAUACGAUCUACGGAUGAAAGCGGGGGAUCGCAAGACCUCGCGCGAUUGGAGCGGCCGAUAUCAGAUUAGGUAGUUGGUGAGGUAAAGGCUCACCAAGCCGACGAUCUGUAGCUGGUCUGAGAGGACGACCAGCCACACUGGGACUGAGACACGGCCCAGACUCCUACGGGAGGCAGCAGUGGGGAAUUUUGGACAAUGGGCGCAAGCCUGAUCCAGCAAUGCCGCGUGCAGGAUGAAGGCCUUCGGGUUGUAAACUGCUUUGUACGGAACGAAACGGUGAGCUCUAAUACAGUUUGCUAAUGACGGUACCGUAAGAAUAAGCACCGGCUAACUACGUG
rnacentral:rRNA from 1 species